UACAGAGGUCUCAAGCGUUGUUCGGUUCAUUGGGCGUAAAGGGUGCGUAGGCGGCGCGGUAAGUCGGGUGUGAAAUCUCGGAGCUUAACUCCGAAACUGCAUUCGAUACUGCCGUGCUUGAGGACUGGAGAGGAGACUGGAAUUUACGGUGUAGCGGUGAAAUGCGUAGAUAUCGUAAGGAAGACCAGUGGCGAAGGCGGGUCUCUGGACAGUUCCUGACGCUGAGGCACGAAGGCCAGGGGAGCAAACGGG
rnacentral:rRNA from 1 species